UUUAUAGUUUAUAGAUUAGGGAGACCGGAGGAGCCAACCAAAUCCGUCCUGUUUUCGUUUCCUAUCUGGAGAGAAGAAAACCCCAAAAACAAAAACCCUAGAAUUUGAGAAUCUUCAAUUCGAGACAAGAAGCAGCAAUGGACUUCGACGAGUACGAUUACUUGGAGAAGACAGUGGAAGAGCAAGAGGACAAAGACUCGAGCAAGAAGAAGAAGGAGAGCAGCGACAAGACCGAAAGGAGCUACAGAAAGCGCGAGGAGAUCGACGAUGCCACCGAAGAAAGGAAGAGCAAGAGGUCCAGAGGCGACGACGAGAAUGGCUCCAAGAAGGAUAAGGAUCGCGAUGACCGCGACAAGGACCGCCAUAAGAGUAGCAGAGACAGAGACAGAGAUAAAGACGGUGAGAGAAGUAGCAGAGUCAGGGAUAGAGAGAAGGAGAGAGACAAAGAGAGGGAUCGGAGAGAGAAGGACAAGGAGAGGGAUAGGAGAGAAAGGGACAGAGACAGAGAGAGAACGGAGAGAGAACGAGAACGAGAGGAGAAAGAGAGGUCUAGGAGGAGCAGGAGUCGUUCUGAGCGAGAUAGAGAGAGAGAGCGUGAUUUCGACAUGAGAGAUAACCGGAAAUUUAGGGAAAAGAAAGAGGCAGUGGAGCCUGAGGCAGAUCCAGAAAGGGAUCAGAGAACUGUUUUUGCUUAUCAGAUGCCCUUAAAGGCAACAGAGAGGGAUGUUUAUGAGUUCUUCUCAAAAGCUGGCAAGGUCAGGGAUGUUCGUCUGAUCAUGGAUAGGAACUCAAGACGUUCCAAAGGAGUUGGGUAUAUUGAAUUUUAUGAUGCAAUGUCAGUGCCAAUGGCAAUUGCGCUCUCUGGCCAACUUCUUCUCGGACAACCUGUAAUGGUCAAACCUUCUGAGGCUGAAAAGAACCUUGUUCAAUCUAAUACGACUAGUGGAGGUGCUGGGAUAGCAGGACCAUAUGGAGCUGUGGACAGAAAACUGUACGUGGGGAACCUUCACUUCAACAUGACUGAGAGUCAGUUGAGAGAGAUUUUUGAGCCAUUUGGUCCAGUGGAGCUUGUACAACUGCCUCUUGACUUGGAGACAGGACAUUGCAAGGGUUUUGGGUUUGUUCAAUUUGCCCAUCUUGAGCAUGCCAAGGCUGCUCAGAGUUUAAAUGGAAAAUUGGAAAUCGCUGGGAGGACUAUCAAGGUUUCAUCUGUAACAGAUCAUGUUGGAAACCAAGAUACAACUGCAAAAUCUGCAGACUUUGAUGAUGAUGAAGGUGGAUUGGCUUUAAAUGCCCAAUCAAGAGCAUUGCUUAUGCAGAAGCUGGACCGCUCUGGCAUUGCUGCUAGCAUUGGUCUACCCAUUGUGAACGGAUCAGCACCUGUUCAACAGGCUAUUAGCAUGCCCAUUGGUAAUCCAGGUAUCUCACCCCCACCAACUCUCCCAACUCAAGUUAUACCUACCCAAGUGGCAGAACCUGUUGGAAAUCCCAGUGAGUGUUUACUGUUGAAGAAUAUGUUCGAUCCAACCACUGAGACGGAACCAGAUUUUGAUCUAGACAUUAAAGAGGAUGUAGAAGAAGAGUGUUCUAAAUUUGGGAGGGUGAAGCAUAUCUAUGUUGACAAAAGAAGUGCAGGUUUUGUUUAUUUGCAGUUCGAAACGGUGGAAGCAGCAAGUGCUGCUCAACGUGCAAUGCACAUGAGGUGGUUUGCACGCAGAUUGAUUUCAGCUAUCUUCAUGGGUUGGGGAAUCAUUUGACCUGAUAAGCUGGGGGAAUCAAACUCUGUUCUUUCAAAUUAAGUGGUGUGAUCCUUUUCAGUUGAACCAACUCUGUUGUCAACAUAUAUGCUGAUUGAUGCAACCUCAGAUAUACGAAGCCAAGUUUAAAGGGGAAGCUUGAAGAAGUGCUUACAGACCUAGUGGCCCUCAAAGAAGAUCAUCUGCAUAUUUUUCUCGUUUUAGUUUUCAGAAAUUGAGUUUAGUUUAUAAAUUUUGAUUCAUGACUUCUACUAUUAGAUGUAUGAUCACACAAAUUCUACUGUCCAGGUGGUGAUAUUCAUGAUCAGUAAUUUACUAGAUGUCAACUCAAAUGUAUUUUAACCAUAGUGCCUUGGCUUUAUCUUUUUUAUAUUCUUGUUUUGCUGCUCCUGGACCACUGGUUUCCAUCUAAAUGGGGUUUUAUUUUU